rnacentral:rRNA from 1 species
AACGAACGCUGGCGGCAUGCCUAACACAUGCAAGUCGAACGAAGCCUUCGGGCUUAGUGGCGCACGGGUGCGUAACGCGUGGGAAUCUGCCCUUUGGUUCGGAAUAACAGUUGGAAACGACUGCUAAUACCGGAUGAUGACGAAAGUCCAAAGAUUUAUCGCCAGAGGAUGAGCCCGCGUAGGAUUAGCUAGUUGGUGUGGUAAAGGCGCACCAAGGCGACGAUCCUUAGCUGGUCUGAGAGGAUGAUCAGCCACACUGGGACUGAGACACGGCCCAGAAUCCUCCGGGAGGCAGCAGUGGGGAAUAUUGGACAAUGGGCGAAAGCCUGAUCCAGCAAUGCCGCGUGAGUGAUGAAGGCCCUAGGGUUGUAAAGCUCUUUUACCCGGGAUGAUAAUGACAGUACCGGGAGAAUAAGCCCCGGCUAACUCCGUGCCAGCAGCCGCCGUAA